rnacentral:rRNA from 1 species
GUAGGUGGCAAGCGUUGUCCGGAAUUAUUGGGCGUAAAGCGCGCGCAGGCGGGUUCUUUAAGUCUGAUGUGAAAGCCCACGGGCUCAACCGUGGAGGGUCAUUGGAAACUGGAGAACUUGAGUACAGAAGAGGAAAGCGGAAUUCCACGUGUAGCGGUGAAAUGCGUAGAGAUGUGGAGGAACACCAGUGGCGAAGGCGGCUUUCUGGUCUGUAACCGACGCUGAGGCGCGAAAGCGUGGGGAGCAAACAGGAUUAGAUACCCUGGUAGUCCACGCCGUAAACGAUGAGUGCUAAGUGUUAGGGGGUUUCCGCCCCUUAGUGCUGCAGCUAACGCACUAAGCACUCCGCCUGGGGAGUACGGCCGCAAGGCUG